UUAGUUCAUUUCCUUUAUGGGUAUAGACGAUAUUUAAUAAUCCAUAACUGAAACAAGUUUUAACUAAGCUUGGGUUGGUUUUCGGUAGUGCGAUUAACUUGUUGUAACCUUGUAAUUUUUGAGUUAUAUAGUUUGUGUUUGGUUCUUGGAUAUCUGUGGCUCUGGGUUUAAGGUUUAGAUAAGACUAUAUUUUGUGGAUAUUUUCUAUGUAUGCUC
rnacentral:lncRNA from 1 species